AAUGGGGGGGAGCUUCCUCCAUCUUUAUUUUAGAGACAUGGGGGAUUUUCAGGUAAGGUGUUAGGAUAUGAAAGCAAUGUCCUCUUCCCCUGGGGAGAGGCUAAAAUAGGGAGAGAUGGGGAAGGAAAUCCUUGAGGGAGCCCCAGGCAUUAGUCCAACCAGGAGCACUAAGGGCCAGAACCAGAACAUGUUACUUGGCCUGAGUGUGACUUCUGGUGUAAGAAAAACAGACCCUGAAGGUCUUUGUGAAACCUUAGUUUCUCCUUCUAAAGAAAUGCCUGUUUAUUUUACAGAUGCAAAGGGUAACCACAUUAAUUCCAAGGCAGUUUUCCAAAGUAUUAUAAUGAUCCCAACAAGAAAAUGGCAUUUCAGUUCAAAUGUUACUGAGUUCCAGGGAAACGGUUAGAUACCCAGGCUGUGGAACUGGGUUGGAUGCAGGACUCAGGAUCCAGAGACAAGGAAGGCAGCAUCAUAAGUCAGCCACCCAUAAAUGCAAUAUUAUAAUAGUCCCAAUUUCUUUUUGAGGUUUGUUCCAAUCAACAGCAACUGAAACACAACUCAGAGUAAGUUAGGCAGAGAAAGAAAAUUGUUGAACUAAUAUAACUGUGAGAUCCUAUGAUGGAGCUGACCUCAGGAUUCCCAAGGACUUAAGAAAUCUCUAGAUAGAUAGAUAGAUAGAUAGAUAGAUAGAUAGAUAGAUAGAGACAUAGAUAGAGAAAAAAAUAGAUAUAGAUAGAAUAAAUAGAUGAUAAAUACAUAGGAUAGAUAGAUAAAUAGCUAGAUGAUAGGUAAUAUAUAUAGAUAUGUAGAUGUUUAAUAGAUACAUAAAAUAGGUAGAUAAAUAGGAUGGAUAGAUACAUAAUUGAUAGAUAACUAGGACAGAUAGAUACAUGAUAGAUACAUUGAUACACAGGAUAGAUAAAUGAUAGGUAGAUAGAUAAGAUGGAUAGAUACAUAGAUAAAUAGAUUAGAUAGGAGAGAUGAUAGAUAGAUAGGUAGAUAGAUAGAUAGAUAGUUAGAAUAAGAUGGUUGAUAGUCACAUAGAAUAAGAUGGAUGAUAGAUAGAUGAUAGAGGGAUAGAAAGAUAGGAUAGAUGAUGGGUAGAUGGUUAGAUAGAUAGGAUAGAUGAUAGAUAGAUAAUAGAUAGAUGGAAUAAAUAUCGUAUAACUGCAUAAACAAAUGUAUGGAAAUAAGCAAAUAAUCAUGACUUAAAUAAGAUGGAAGUUUGUUUCUCUCUGAUAUGAUAGGAGGCCAGAACAAGGGGUCCAGGUUAUUGUACAGAUUCAAGAUGUCAGGCAUUUUGAAUGUUGUUGCUCCACUAUUUUAGUAUGUGACUUUCUACUCAUGGUUCAAUAUGGUGGCAUGGUCUCCAGCCCUCACAUCUCCAUUGCAGCUAGCAGCAAAAGGAGAGGGAAGAGUUCACAUUCACUUUUUUACAAAAUUAAAGAGAUUUUUAUGGUCUUAAUACAUUCCUACUUACUUCUCAUGAGCUCAAAGUUCAUCAUACAGUCACACAGAGCUGCAAGGGAGUCUAGGAAAAACAGUCUCAAAAAGUAGAGGUGGACAGCUUCUCAGGGAUCUCCCAAGUUCUGAUGACUCUCUCAACUCUCUGCUUCUCUCUGGGUUCCAGACUAGAUUCUCUCAGAAAAAGUCUUGGAAUAUAGGAUGGAAAAAAAAAAUCCAGCUGCUGUAGCUAUAGAUUCACAGUCUGAGCUUCUCCCACCACCCUCUCAGUCUUUGCUGAUCAAAUUCAGGGGAAGGUUAACUAGCCUGUCUUGAACCAUAUGUCUAUCUCUGGGAUAAUCUCUGCACCUGAGAAAGGCUGGCUUCUCAGAGCAGAUGAUUUUGUUGUUGUUGUUGUUAAACUUUAAAAGAUGAAUCAGAUGUUACAAUGACUCAGGGCUGGGCAGGCAAACUCAGGGAACUAGGAAAUUGAUGAUGGAGUCAGAGAUUGAGGUGCUGGGUGUGAUGUGAUGAAGUACAGACAGAGAGGCCACAUCUUUCCAUGUGUGAAUUUAUGAAAGAUCUCAGACACUUAGGUAAGGAUCCUGAACUAUUCUCUGCAGUUGAUGAGAAACCACCAACAUUUUGUGACCAGUCAUGUCAACAUUUAUGCUUAUACAUAUUAAAUAGGUCUAAAUGUGUUUAGACCUAUUACCUUGGAACCCAUGCAUAGGAUGGAUGAGAAGGGAUGGCACUGAAGAUGGAAGCCUGGAGACUCUGGCAUGGGAUGGAUGGUGGUAAUGGAGUCUUUGAACCUGGAGCAUGGAGUGGGAAGGAAGAAGUGAGAAGGCAUUCAAAGUCACCAGUGAGGCUGGGCACCAUGGCUCACACCUGUAAUCCCAGCACUUUGAGAGGUCAAGACAGGCAGAUCACUUGAGCUCUGGAGUUCAAGACCAGCCUGGGCAACAUGAUGAGACCCCCAUCUCUAUUAAAAAUAGAAAAAAUAGCCAGGAGUGGUGGUGUGUGCCUGUAGUCCUAGCUACUAGGGGAGCUGAGGUGGGAGGAUCACUUAAGCCCAGGAGGUGGAGGUUGCAGUGAGCUGAGAUUGUGCCACUGCACUCCAGCCCAGGUGACAGAGUGAGACAUUGUCUCAAACAAACAAACAAAUUAAAAUAACACAAACACACACACAAAAACAAAAAAACAAAAAUACAAAAACAAACAAAAAACAGUCACCACAGAAGCAAACUGUUGUGUCUCUUUGAUGUUGAGGGAAAAAUCAAACGUGACUUCAGAGCUCUAACCUGAAAGGUUGAGUGGGAAACAAACUCCCAAUAAAAGAACAUAAAUUAUGUCUGGGGGAGAAAAGAAGACAAAGUUGAGUUCAGCCUUUGCUUUAUUGAUUCUUCUUCUGAAGGAGGUUCUUCUAAAACAGGGAGUCACAUUUAGCCUUUGCUCGUUCUUCUCCUCUUCCCAAAGGGGUUCUUCUAAAUGUUGGGCUGAACUAGGGCUCAAACAUAAGCUUCCUUCUCUCUCCAGGGGAUCUCACUCAGCCCCAGGACUUGACACAUCCACUCAAAAUCCUAAAUUCCCAUCUCUGGCUUUGACAUCUUUUCUCUACUUCAGAUUCAUGCAUGUAACUGUAUGCUCAACUUCUCAGCUCAGAUAAAUGAUUAGGGCUUCCAAGUUAACCCAUCCCAAACCAUCUGGAAAGCCUUCACUGGAUUCACCACCACCCCUGAGAAGUGUUUUGGCAGAAGACUUUGGAAACUUUGAACUCUUCUUUCUCUCAUCUCCCCCUUAUACAAUUCAUUGGCAAGUCUCUUGAAUGACCUCAAACAUUUGUCAAAUUGGAUCAGAUUUUCCUGCCUUUGCUUUCUUCACCCUCAUGCAUGACAUAUGUCAUCUGGAUCAUAGCCACAUCCUCUUGAUUGAUCUCUUGGCUUCUGUCCUGGUUUCUGCUUUGAUCCUGGAAUUAUUCUUAAGCAGAGAAAUCUUUCAAAAAUAGAGAUGAUUUUUAGCUUGUGGUCCUCAUCCCUUGCUAAUGACUAAAUAGCAAAGUUUCCCAAAAUUUGUAUGUUGAAGGCCUAACCCCUACUAGUCAUGUCCCUCCAAAAUGCACCAUAUGGAAACCCUAAUCCCCAAUGGGAUGAUAUUAGGAGGUGAAGUCUCUGGAGGUGAUGAGGUUUAGAUGAGGUCAUGAGGAUGGGUCCUUCAUGACGGGAUUAGUAUCCUUAUAAGAAGAGCGAGAGACACAAAAGUGCUCUCUCUCUCUCUCUCUUUCUCUCUCUGAAUGCACCAUCUGUGAACCAGCAAGAGGACCCACUCCAGACAAUAAAUCUGCCAUACCUUGAUCUCGGACUUCCCCAUCUCCAGAACUGUGAGAAAUCAAUGGCUGUUACUUAAGCCACCCAGUCUAUAAUUUUUGUUAUGGCAACCCGAGCUGAAUAAGACAUCCCUCAUUGCCACUCAAAACCCGCCAAUAAUUUCACAUCGAAGUCAGAAUACAAUCUAACUACUUCCCUAUGGCUUCUUUGUAACUCUGCCCCUGGUCACUUGCUCCAACUGGGACUCUGUGGUCCCAAUAAAAUAACGUAAAUUAUGUCUGGGGAAGAAAAGAAGACAAAGUUGAGUUCAGCCUUUGCUUUACUGAUUCUUCUUCUGAAGGGGGUUCUUCUAAAACAAGGAGUCAUCACGUUUAGCCUUUGCUUGUUCUUCUUUGCUGCCCCCUUGGGCAUCCCCCCAGUCAUGCCAAAUUCAUUCCUGCUGCAGACCUCCAGUACAUUACUCCUUCUGUGAGUGUCCUCUGGCCGCCAUCACCAAUGAUCACAUUCGUAUUGGCUUAAAGCAACACAAAUGUAUUGUCUUACAGUGUUGUAGUUUUGAAGCCCACCCUGGGUCUCACUGGCCUAAAACCAAGGUGUCAGCAAAACUUCCCUCUUGAUGCAAGUUCUGGGGGAGAAUCAGUUUCCUUGCCAUUUCCUGCUUCUAGGGGAAUGUUUCUAGAGUAUUCCUUGGCUCCUGGACCCUUCCUUGAACUUCAGAGCCAGUAGUGCAGCAUCUUCUAAUUUCUCUGUGACUCUGACCUUUGCUUUUGUCCUAACAUCACCUCCUCUGGCUCUGGCACUCCUGCCUCCCUCUUACAAAGAUCCUGUGAUGAUCUUAGACCCAGCUGGAUAAUCCAGGGUCAUUUCAUCUCAUGAUUCUUAAACUAAUCACAUCUGCAAAAUCUUUUUAGCCAUGACAGGUUUUUACAGAUUUCUAGAAUUAGGAUGUGGAUAUUUUUUUGAGGGGGGGAAGGGGGUGCUUACUCUGUCAACCCACAUGGGGAUUAGGAUGUAGACAUCCUUGGGGCCAUUAUUCUGUCUGCUACCUAGUAUUAGGCCAUGGACAUCUUUGGGACCAUUAUUCUCUGUAUCACAUGAGGAGUAGGACAUGGGUAUCUUUGGGACCAUUAUUCUGUCUCCCACAUGGGGAUUAGGAUGUGGACAUCUUUGGGGCCAUUAUUCUGUCUGCCACGUGGGGAUAAGGAUGUGUACAUCUUUGAGGCCAUUAUUCUGUCUACCACAUGGGGAUUAGUAUGUGGACAUCUUUGGGGUCAUUAUUCUGUCUACCACAUGGGGAUUAGGACGUGGACAUCUUUGGGGCCAUUAUUCUGUCUGCCACGUGGGGAUUAGGAUGUGUACAUCUUUGGGGCCAUUAUUCUGUCUAUCACAUGGGGAUUAGGAUGUGGACAUCUUUGGGGCCAUUAUUCUGUCUGCCACAUGGGGAUUAGGAUGUGUACAUCUUUGGGGCCAUUAUUCUGUCUAUCACAUGAGGAUUAGGACGUGGACAUCUUUGGGGCCAUUAUUCUGUCUGCCACAUGGGAUUAGGACAUGGACAUAUUUGAGGCCAUUAUUCUGUCUACCAAAUGGAGAUUAGGAUGUGGACAUCUUUGGGGCCAUUAUUCUGUCUCCCACAUGAGGAUUAGGAUGUGGACAUCUUUGAGGCCAUUAUUCUGUCUCCCACAUGGGAUUAGGAUGUGAAGAUCUUUGGGAACAUUAUUGUUUUCACCACAUGGGAUUAGGACAUGGACAUCUUUGGGGCCAUUAUUCUGUCUACCACACGGGAUUAGGAUGUGGACAUCUUUGGGACCACUAUUCUGUCUACCUCAUGGGGAUUAGGAUAUGGACAUCUCUGGGACCAUUAUUCUGUCUACCACAUGGGAAAUAGGAUGUUGGUCACAUCUUUAGGAUCAUUAUUCUGUCUCCCACAUGGGGAUUAGGAUGUGGACAUUUUUGGGGCCAUUAUUCUGUCUACCACAUGGGGAUUAGGACAUGGACAUCUCUGGGGACAUUAUUCUGUCUACCACAUGGGGAAUAGGAUAUUGGUAACAUCUUUAGGGCCAUUAUUCUGUCUACCACAUGGGGAUUAGGACAUGGAUAUCUUUGGGGCCAUUAUUCCGUCUACCACGAGAUAAUUACAACUUGGACAUCUUUGGUGAAAUCACGUUGUCUUCGUCCUUUCUUAUUCUUAGAAUUCUCCUAGUGACAAGCGUCUUCUUCUUCCUCAACUUCUUCUUCCUCAGCAUUCCUAUGGGGCCUCCAACACUCACCAGACAGCUCCCUGACUGCAUUACCCUAGAUUGUAUUUGACCAAGAUUCUCGGGUUUUUCUUGGUUUCUCCAAGCAGAAUGGAAGCUUUAGAGGGCAGAGUGUUUGUUACUCUUUCUUAUUCUAAUUGUGUAUUCUUAUUUACUGACGUGUCUCCAGCUUUCAAGGCAGAGUCUCACCCAUUAGGUCUUCUAUAUACAAUUAAAUUUACCUAGAAAGUAUUUCCUUCUUAUUUAAAACUUUUUAAAAGUAAAUUCAUGUAUACAUAUGUAACCAACCUGCAUGUCGUGCACAUGUACCCUAAAACUUAAAGUAUAAUAAUAAUAAAAUUUUUAAAAAAGAAAGAUAACAACCAAAAAACAACAAAAAAGUAAAUUCCAAAAUUUCUAUAUCACAUUACAAAUUCACAUGCCACCCACGAAGAAUACAUUUGCAAAAUAAAUGAUGUCUUGAGACGAAAUGAGUUUUCAAUGAAGAUUUUAGAGACUCUUUAUUUUUAUUUUUAUUUUUUAGACAGAGUCUCACUCUGUCACCCUGGCUGUAGUGCAGUGGCGUGAUCUCGGCUCACCACAACCUCUGCCUCCCGGGUUCAAGCAAUUCUCUGCCUCAGCCUCCCGAGCAGAUGAGAUUACAGGAACCCUCCACCUUGUCCGGCUAAUUUUUGUAUUUUUAGUAGACACAGGUUUCACCUUCUUGGCCAGGCUGGUCUUGACCUCCUGACCUCAGGUAAUCCACCCACCUCGGCCUCCCAGAGUGCUAGGAUUACAGAUGUGAGCCACCGUGCCUGGCCGAGACUUUUUAAUACAUGCUUUGGUUCUAAUAAAGUUCCCCAUUGAGCUGUUUGGACAGAUGACAGGGAAGAAAUCAUUUACAAUUCUCUUAACAAAACCCCCGUAAAGAAUAACCCAUUUCCCCCCAAAUAGGAAAGGGAACUAUUUCACCCUGCUCUUUGAGGAAAUUGAAUAAAUAGUAAAUGAAGUUCUGUCUGUACAGGAAGUGUGGGUACUUGGCAUUACAUCUAGACAAGUAAAGACACAAGUGUUUUCUUCCAAAUGAAUGACAUGUUUAAAAACCUUCAUCACCACCCUCUCUGUGAUUACAAGUUUUGAGUGCCUUUUAACCACUGGGUGCUAGAAGCAAAUUUCCAUGUGAACACACCCUCCUUCUUCUUCUCCUCCUGCUCCUCCCGCUCCUCCUCCUCCUCCUUUUCUCCUUGUCCUUCUUCUUCUUCUUCUUCUUCCUCUUCCUCCUCUCCUUCUCCUUCUUCUCCCUCUUCUCCCUCUUCCUCUUCUUCCUCCUCUCCUUCUCCUUCUUUUUCCCCUUCCCCUUCCCCUUCUUCCUCCUCCUCCUCCUUCUCCUCCUCCUCCUCCUCCUCUUCUUCUUCUUCUUCUUCUUCUUCUUCUUCUUCUUCUCCUUCUCCUUCUCCUUCUCCUCCUUCUCCUUCUUCACUUCAAGUUAUGGUAUACAUUUGCAGAACGUGCAGGUUUGUUACAUAGGUAUACAUGUGCCAUGGUGGUUUGCUGCACCUAUCAACCCAUCAUCUAGGUUUUAAGCCCUGCCUGCAUUAUGUAUUUGUCCUAAUGCUGCCCCUCCCCUUUCCCCCAACCCCCAGACAAGCCCCAGUGUGUUAUGUUCCCCUCUCUGUGUCCACGUGUUCUCAUUGUUCAACUCCCUCUUAUGAGUGAGAACAUGGGGUGUUUGGUUUUCUGUUCCUGUGUUAGUUUGCUGAGAAUGAUGGCUUCCAGCUUCAUCCAUGUCCCUGCAAAGGACAUGAAUGCAUCCCUUUUUAUGGCUGCAUAGUAUUCCAUGGUGUCUAUGUGCCACAUUUUCUUUAUCCAGUUUAUCACUGAUGGGCAUUUGGGUUGGUUCCAAGUCUUUGCUGUUGUGAAUAGGAGCACAUCCUCCUGAUUCAACAAUGAGAUCAUCGUCCACUGUUCUGUUCAGGAGUACAGAAAGGUCCCAGGCUGCUAAGACAAUCUCGAAUUCUCUCAACACCCCACAGCUUGUCAAUACUGGAGGUAUUCUGGUGAUUUUUUUUUUUUGGAAAGUGGCUAUUUAUAUAUCACAAGGUUUCUUGAUUACAAAAGCAGUCAACUGGCCAGGCGCAGUGGCUCAUGCCUGUAAUCCCAGCACUUUGGGAGGCCAAGGCUGGUGGAUCAUGAGGUCAGGAGAUCGAGACCAGCCUGGCCAACAUGGUGAAACCCUGUCUCUACUAAAAAUACAAAAAUUAGCCAGGCAUGGUGGUCAUCCUUUUUUAUGGCUGCAUAGUAUUCCAUGCAUACAUGGCACAUUUUCUUUAAGGGUGCAUGUUGGGAGGAGGGAAAGGAUCAGAAAAAAAUAACUUAUUGUGUACAAAGCUUUGUACCUGGGUGACAAAAUAAUCUGUACAACAAACCCCUAUGACAUGAGUUUACCUAUAUAACAAACCCACACAUGUACCCCUAGACCUAAAUAAAAGUGUUUUUGUUUGUUUGUGUUUUUGUUUUUGUUGUGUUUGUAUGUUUGUAAUCCCAACUACUUGGGAGGCUGAGGCAGGAGAAUUGCUUGAACCCGGGAGGUGUAGGUUGCAGUGAUCAGAGAUCGCUCCAGCCUUGGUGACAGAGUGAGACUCCAUCUCCAAAAAAAAAACCAAAAAACAAAAAACUCGUCUCUCUACCUACCUGCUCUCUUUCCCCAUUCCUGUUACAUAGAUUACUUCUUACCUCCCCAGGUACCCUGGAAGGUCAGAGUCUUCCCUUCUUCCUUCUAUUUAAAUAAAACAAUAUGAGAAAACUGCUUGACAGGUGGUUCCAAGCAUCAGUGGGGUGAAAAAACAAUAUUCUUCGUGAUGUGGGUAACACCAGGAAAAAAAAAAAUCAGUGUCUCUUGUCCAUAGGUUCUCAUCAUUUAGCUCUCACUUUUAUUUUUAAUUAAUUAAUUUUUUUUUGAGACAGAGUCUCACUCUGUCACCCAGGCUGGACUGCAGUGGCAAGAUCUCGGCUCACUGUACACUCCACCUCCCGAGUUCAAGUGAUUCUCCUGCCUCAACCUCCUGGGUCACUGGGAUUACAGGUGUCUGCCAGCACUCCUGGCUAACUUUUGUAUUUUCAGUAGAGACGGGACUUCACCAUAUUGGUCAGGCUGGUCUAGAACUCCUGUCCUCAAAUGAUCUGCCCUCCUCGGCCUCCCAGAGUGCUGGGAUUACAGGCAUGAGCCACUGUGCCUGGCUGGUAACGCUCUUUCAUGAUAGAAUCUUUAUUUUUAAAUUUAUUUAUUUAUUUUGAGACUGAGUCCCACUCUGCCACUCAGGCUGGAGUACAGUGGCACGAUCUCGGCUCACUGCAACCUUCACCACCCGGGUUCAAGUGAGUCUUCUGCCUCAGUGCCCCCCGAGUGUCUAGGAUUACAGGCAUGCGCCACCAUGCCGAGCUAAUUUUUGUAUUUUUAGGAGAAAUGAGGUUUCAUCAUGUUGGCCAGGCUGGUCUCUAACUCCUGACCUUAAGUGAUCCACCCACCUUGGCCUCCCAAUGUGAUGGAAUUACAAGUGUGAGCCACCACACCCGGCUGGCUCCCACUUUUAAAUGAAAACGUGUGGUAUUUAGUUUUCUGUUCCUGCAUUGGUUUGCUAAGCAUACCAUAGCUCCAGCUGUGUUCCUGCAAAAGAUAUGAGCUCAUCCUUUUUUAUGGCUGCAUAGUAUCCCAUGCAUAUGUGGCACAUUUUCUUUAAGGGUGCAGGUUGGGAGGAGGGACUGGAUCAGAAAAAAAUAACUUAUUGUGUACAAAGUUUGUACCUGGGUGACAAAAUAAUCUGUACAACAAAACCCUAUGACAUGAGUUUACCUAUAUAACAAACCCACACAUGUACCCCUGGACCUAAAAUAAAAGUGUUUUUGUUUGUUUGUUUUUUUGUUUUUGUUGUGUUUGUAUGUUUGUUUGAGAUGGAGUCUCUGCCUUUGUUGCUCAGGCCAGAGUACAGUGGUGCAAUCUUGGCUCACUGCAACCUCCACCUCCCAGAAAAAGAAAGCAAAUACGGCAAACAGCAUCAGCUUUUUAGAAGAAGCUGGAGCUUCUGGUGGGUGGACCAUGCUGGAGCUUCUGGUGGGUGGGCGAUGCUGGAGCUUCUAGUGGGUGGACGAUGCUGAAUCUUCUGGUGGGUGGACUAUGGUGGAGCUUCUGGUGGGUAAAUAAUGUUGGAGCUUCUGGUGAGUAGACCAUGGUGGAGCUUCUGGUGGAUAAAUUAUGCUGGAGCUACUCAUGGGUAAAUCAUGCUGGAGCUUCUGGUAGGUGGACCAUGCUGGGGCUUCUGGUGGGUGAACCAUACUGGAGCUUCUGGUAGGUGGACCAUGGUGGAGCUUCUGGUGGGUGGACCAUGCUGGGGCUUCUGGUGGGUGAACCAUACUGGAGCUUCUGGUAGGUGGACCAUGGUGGAGCUUCUGGUGGGUAGACCAUGGUGGAGCUUCUGGUGGGUGGAGCAUGCUGGAGCUUCUGGUGGGGUAAAUCAUGCUGGAGCUUCUGGUGGGUAAAUCAUGCUGGAGCUUCUGGUGAGUAGACCACGGUGGAGCUUCUGGUGGAUAAAUUAUGCUGGCGCUUCUCGUGGGUAAAUCAUGCUGCAACUUCUGGUGGGUAAAUCAUGCUGGAGCUUCUGGUGAGUAGACCACGGUGGAGCUUCUGGUGGAUAAAUUAUGCUGGAGCUUCUCGUGGGUAAAUCAUGCUGGAGCUUCUGGUGGGUGGACCAUGCUGGAGCUUCUCAUGGGUAAAUCAUGCUGGAGCUUCUGGUGGGUGGAUCAUGCUGGAGCUUCUGGUGGGUGGAUCAUGCUCGAGCUUCUGGUGGAUGGACCAUGCUGGAGCUUCUGGUGGGUGGACCAUGGUGGAGCUUCUGGUGAGUAGACCAUGGUGGGAGCUUCUUGGAGGUAAAUUAUGCUGGAGCUUCUGAUGGGUGGACCAUGCUGGAGCUUCUGGUGGGUGGACCAUGGUGGAGCUUCUGGUGGGUGGACCAUGGUGGAGCUUCUGGUGGGUAAAUUAUGCUGGAGCUUCUGGUGGGUGGACCAUGUUGGAACCUCUGGUGGGUGGAUCAUGCUGAAGCUUCUGGUGGGUAAAUCAUGCUGAAGCUUCUGGUGGGUAAAUCAUGCUGGAACCUCUGGUGGGUAAAUCAUGCUGGAGCUUCUGGUGGGUAAAUUAUGUUGGAGCCUCUGGUGGGUAAAUCAUGCUGAAGCUUCUGGUGGGUAAAUCAUGCUAGAGCCUCUGGUGGGUAAAUCAUGCUGGAGCCUCUGGUGGGUAAAUCAUGCUGGAGCCUCUGGUGGGUAAAUCAUGCUGGAGCCUCUGGUGGGUGGGGUAUCCACACACCUGUGGGUGCCAAUUGAUAGUGGGGACUUCACCCCAUGUCCCAGAAUCCUGCAAGGAGGCCACAUGCCCCAUAAAUUCUUUCCAGUAAGUUAAUACGUCCACAGCACGCUGUGCGUUCCCCCAAAAAUGACAUCGGCCAAUUACACUUUCAAAUCACAUGCCUUCCUGAUGGGCAAAACUGGAAAUGUGAACACACUUUAAUCCUCAGAUAAUGUAAUGGUUUACAUCUGGGGCUCUUCAGGCAGCCCAUGGCUGGUUCACGUUGCUCCCUUCCAAUAAAUGUUUUGCAGUAUGUGUCUUGUUUAAUAACGAUUUAAACAUGGAAAAUAAAUGCUUUCCUCUUAGGCGUCCACCUGUCUAUCACCCGGAGUCUGGGAGGACGGCCCUUCUUUUCAACGGCAUUCGCCAAGCCAGUCUCCAUGAAUCACUGACAGAGUCCUCUAAUGGUUUCCUUUUUUGUUGUUGUUGUUUAACACUUAAGCAUUG
rnacentral:lncRNA from 1 species